GCCAUUAUGAUGGAUGUUUACAUCUCUUCAUUGAGAGCCAAUUAUCUCGCUUUUGUGUGAGGCCCAAGGAUCACUCAUGCUUCCAGGCUGCACAGAGCACUGUUGGAUCUAGCUGAACGAAUUGUUUUCUCUGUCUCUGUUGUAGCAGAAAGAAAUUGUCCUGGAAUUCACCAACAAAAUAUCAAGUCCAACCUGCUACAACUGUGAAACCUAGUAACUCAGAGGAAUCAACGUUUCUACUCCUUGAAACCCAGCAAGGCUGUCACCUAUCAAAGGCU
rnacentral:lncRNA from 1 species